UGUGACUGCGUACCUUUUGUAUAAUGGGUCAGCGACUUAUAUUCUGUAGCAAGGUUAACCGUAUAGGGGAGCCGGAGGGAAACCGAGUCUUAACCGGGCGUUAAGUUGCAGGGUAUAGACCCGAAACCCGGUGAUCUAGCCAUGGGCAGGUUGAAGGUUGGGUAACACUAACUGGAGGACCGAACCGACUAAUGUUGAAAAAUUAGCGGAUGACCUGUGGCUGGGGGUGAAAGGCCAAUCAAACCGGGAGAUAGCUGGUUCUCCCCGAAAGCUAUUUAGGUAGCGCCUCGUGAAUUCAUCUCCGGGGGUAGAGCACUGUUUCGGCUAGGGGGCCAUCCCGGCUUACCAACCCGAUGCAAACUGCGAAUACCGGAGAAUGUUAUCACGGGAGACACACGGCGGGUGCUAACGUCCGUCGUGAAGAGGGAAACAACCCAGACCGCCAGCUAAGGUCCCAAAGUCAUGGUUAAGUGGGAAACGAUGUGGGAAGGCCCAGACAGCCAGGAUGUUGGCUUAGAAGCAGCCAUCAUUUAAAGAAAGCGUAAUAGCUCACUGGUCGAGUCGGCCUGCGCGGAAGAUGUAACGGGGCUAAACCAUGCACCGAAGCUGCGGCAGCGAACGUAUCACCCAAGACAACUUUACGGAGUUGACGAUUGACGGAGCGAAGCGACGUCAAAGCGUUCAUUAAAGUCGAGUUGGCUUAGGGAUACGUUCGUUGGGUAGGGGAGCGUUCUGUAAGCCUGUGAAGGUGUGUCGUGAGGCAUGCUGGAGGUAUCAGAAGUGCGAAUGCUGACAUAAGUAACGAUAAAGCGGGUGAAAAGCCCGCUCGCCGGAAGACCAAGGGUUCCUGUCCAACGUUAAUCGGGGCAGGGUGAGUCGACCCCUAAGGCGAGGCCGAAAGGCGUAGUCGAUGGGAAACGGGUUAAUAUUCCCGUACUUGGUGUUACUGCGAAGGGGGGACGGAGAAGGCUAUGUUGGCCGGGCGACGGUUGUCCCGGUUUAAGCGUGUAGGUGUGUGUUCCAGGUAAAUCCGGUUCACUUUAACACUGAGGCGUGACGACGAGGCACUACGGUGCUGAAGCAACAAAUGCCCUGCUUCCAGGAAAAGCCUCUAAGCAUCAGGUAACACGAAAUCGUACCCCAAACCGACACAGGUGGUCAGGUAGAGAAUACCAAGGCGCUUGAGAGAACUCGGGUGAAGGAACUAGGCAAAAUGGUGCCGUAACUUCGGGAGAAGGCACGCUGACACGUAGGUGAAGUGAUUUACUCAUGGAGCUGAAGUCAGUCGAAGAUACCAGCUGGCUGCAACUGUUUAUUAAAAACACAGCACUGUGCAAACACGAAAGUGGACGUAUACGGUGUGACGCCUGCCCGGUGCCGGAAGGUUAAUUGAUGGGGUCAGCGUAAGCGAAGCUCCUGAUCGAAGCCCCGGUAAACGGCGGCCGUAACUAUAACGGUCCUAAGGUAGCGAAAUUCCUUGUCGGGUAAGUUCCGACCUGCACGAAUGGCGUAAUGAUGGCCAGGCUGUCUCCACCCGAGACUCAGUGAAAUUGAACUCGCUGUGAAGAUGCAGUGUACCCGCGGCAAGACGGAAAGACCCCGUGAACCUUUACUAUAGCUUGACACUGAACAUUGAGCCUUGAUGUGUAGGAUAGGUGGGAGGCUUUGAAGUGUGGACGCCAGUCUGCAUGGAGCCGACCUUGAAAUACCACCCUUUAAUGUUUGAUGUUCUAACGUGGACCCGUAAUCCGGGUUGCGGACAGUGUCUGGUGGGUAGUUUGACUGGGGCGGUCUCCUCCUAAAGAGUAACGGAGGAGCACGAAGGUUGGCUAAUCCUGGUCGGACAUCAGGAGGUUAGUGCAAUGGCAUAAGCCAGCUUGACUGCGAGCGUGACGGCGCGAGCAGGUGCGAAAGCAGGUCAUAGUGAUCCGGUGGUUCUGAAUGGAAGGGCCAUCGCUCAACGGAUAAAAGGUACUCCGGGGAUAACAGGCUGAUACCGCCCAAGAGUUCAUAUCGACGGCGGUGUUUGGCACCUCGAUGUCGGCUCAUCACAUCCUGGGGCUGAAGUAGGUCCCAAGGGUAUGGCUGUUCGCCAUUUAAAGUGGUACGCGAGCUGGGUUUAGAACGUCGUGAGACAGUUCGGUCCCUAUCUGCCGUGGGCGCUGGAGAACUGAGGGGGGCUGCUCCUAGUACGAGAGGACCGGAGUGGACGCAUCACUGGUGUUCGGGUUGUCAUGCCAAUGGCACUGCCCGGUAGCUAAAUGCGGAAGAGAUAAGUGCUGAAAGCAUCUAAGCACGAAACUUGCCCCGA
rnacentral:rRNA from 1 species